AUUUUGGGAAAUGUGGUUUGCAUCAAGGUCAUAGUCGUAAUCUAGCUUGUAUGGACAAUGGCAAUGUGAAUAUUGUUGUCGAUGAACUUGAUAAAGUGGCAAAUAUCAAACCAGAAUGGGAAGUUCGGAAAUAUGAGCACCAGGCAGGAUAUCAGGCUGGUUUCAAGGGAUGGGGAGGCUGGGGAGAUGUACGGGAUCACGAAUUGUGUGUGGAGUUUGCUAAAAUGUAUGUCUGAGGGUGGUCUUGCACUUUCUGAAGAGUGAUAUUUUGAGCUUCACAACCAUACUACUUUUAAGGUCUGGAAACCAUGGAAAUCACUCUUUAGUGUAAAACAUGUGUAAAGUUUUAGGAAUGACGUUAUGUUUUGCAUUCACAGGCCAGCUAUUAUUGAGUGCACACUAAAUUUUGUUUUGCAUCCCCUUUCUGG
rnacentral:misc_RNA from 1 species